ensembl:lncRNA
CUAGGCAGGAAGUGACAUAGCAAGGAGACUCAUAUUUGAGCGAGGAGAAAUGGGAAGUUUUCUCUUUUUCCCCUUGGCUCCUGCUCCAGCGCCACGAUGUGAUCCACUGACAAGGAGGGAUGCCAAUAAGGUGUCUGAUAAGAUAAGUCUUAUAAAAUAUAUGUUUAUGAUAAUUGAGACUGAGCUAACAGAUGAGGAAUCCUAGUCAUUGGCCAAGCAGCUUUGUACCUAAUACAAGUUUCUGUGUAAUCAUUUGGGCCCUAACUCGGGUUGGCGGCUGGCGUAAAGCUCACACGUGGCGGUAGGGCUCAGGCAGCUUAUGGUAGAAAGAUUUAUUGUAACAGAAUGGUGUCAGAAGUGGGAUGACUCCAUGCCCCAAGGUUUCCAGAGAAAGAAGUAAACCUGCCGCCACAGCCUGCCCUGUCCGGCCACUGAGAGGCAUCAGAGCAGCUUCCAUAUGCUCGCACCAUCCCAGAGCUUCUGGGGUUUAGACUCGGCACUCCCAAGAUGAUAAAGACAGAUCCAGAUAAAGAAAAACCUCUAAAGGUUUACACUAUAUUAAAAAAUAUAUGUAGGCUUGUGAGAGAAAACAUAACAGGAAAAAAUAGAUUAGCCAGUUGUGGUGGCACACACCUGUAGGAUUUGCUGAAGGAAGCAGAGGCAGGCGGAUUUCCUCAGAGGAACCCUGUCUCAAAAAGAAAAAAAAAGAAAGUAAAAGUAAAGUAAUAAAAAAGCCACAUAAAGAUAAAAAAUACAGAGAGAAUCUGGAUACUAUAUGCCAUAUUGUUGUCUUUAAAUUGUUUGAUUGCCGAGGAAAGACUUAUUGCUGCUAAAAUACAUUUGAUUAUAAAUGCUACUAAAUUAAUCCAACUUAUACAUUUUAAAAAUGCUCUAACUUCAAAAUUUAAGUUUAAGGACAGGCUACUUAGAAAUAAAGGUUUUGCUUUUAUUUCCACAGAAAAUAAAAAGCUAUGGAUUCCUUCCAGACUAUUAUGGUUUGAUCAAACAAGACCCCCUAAAGCUAAGACGAUACAGCCUUACUGACUACAAAAACAAAGACUUGGUCAGGUUUCUAUGUUUUAUCAUGAUCCCCAUGGUAUAUGAACAUUGCCCCCAAUCAGCAGGAAACAGUUUAGAAAGAACGACGCCCAUAUUCCCAAAUAUUGUUUAUAAAUGUUUAUUUUCAUUUAAAUGGGGUUAGUUAUAAAUGAUAAUGAGCAUAGUCAAUUUUUUUAAAGAAAAAAGGGGAAUAGGAUAUAGGAAUGAAUACUUUACAUUGGUAUAGAUUUUCAUUUAUCGAUACAACUUUAAGGUCAAUUUUGUGAUAUGUAUAUGUCUCCUCUUAUUUAGGUAUUGUGUUUAUACAGAUCUUUUACCUAUAAUAGUCAGAACUUAUAAUUAGGUUAGUUAGGUUUUCUAGAUUUACAGAGAUGUAUUUGAGAUGGAUAGGUAUUCUUCAAACCUUUCAAAGACCUACAGAAAAAGGCAUUUAAAUGGUUUAGGACUUUUCUUGGCAGUGAGACACAACUGCUCCUGGCACACCAAUUAUGUCAAAAAGGAGGAUGGGCAUCGAAGAAACUCAUUAUGGAGUUUGCUUUCAACAUGGCAAGAUUAGCCAUUUGGGCAAGAAACUGCUCUUGCCUGGACUGUUUGUUGCUGCAUAAACUAGACAUACAGGACCCACAAGAAAGUGACUGCUGAACUUACAAAACAAGACAGUACUGAAGGGUUCCUGUUAAAAUGGAGAAGUGUGCCAGACACAAUGUGGCCUAUAGGCUGAAGAUGGAUGCCCCAACGUUACAGAGGAACUUUGGGUGACGGUCCAGAGCCCUCAUCCAGUGGCUGAUGGAAGCAGAGGCAGACACCCACAGCUAAACACCAUGCUUAACUCUGGAACCCAAAGGCACAGAGGAAGGAGUGAAGAGCAACAAGGUCAAGACCAGGCUGGUGAAACCCACAGAAACAGCUAACCUGAACAAGGAGGAGUGCGUGGACCCCAGACUGAUGUCAGGGAGGCCAGCACAGAACUUAUACAGACCCCUGAAUUGUGGAUGUAAAUGAGGAGGCCUCGGCAUUCUAUGGGACCUCUGGCAGAAGAUUUGUGCCUAGCCCAUGUGUCUUCAGAGAGACUUCAUCCAGAAACUGAUGGAAAUAGAGGUGGAGACCCACAGUCAAACAUUAGGUCGAGCGCAGGAAAUCCUAUGGAAGAGGUGGAAGAUGGAUUGUAGGAGCUAAUGCUGUCAAGAACAUCACAAGAAAACCCACAGAAUCAACUAACCUGGGAUCAUAGGAGCUCAUAGAGACUGAAUCCAUAACCAGAGAUCUGCAUGGGCCAGAGCUAGGCCCUCUGCAUAUAUGUGACAGUUGUAUAGCUUGGUCUCUUGUAGGAUUGCUAACAGUGAAAACAGGAGCUAUACUUAAUGCUUUGGUUGGCUUUUGGGAUCCUAUUCCUCAUACUGGGUUGCCUUAUACAGCCUUAAUACAAGGGGAGGUGCUUAGUCUUACUGCAACUUGGCACACCAAACUUUUCUGACAUCCAUUGGAGGCCUGCCCUUUUUGAGUAGAAACAGAGGAGGACUGAAUGGGAGAGGGGCAGAGGGGAGUUUUAUGGUAGGGACUGGUAGGAGAGGAGGGAGGGGAAACUGAGGUUGGGAUGUAAAAUAAAGGAAUGAAUUAGCUAAAAACUUGUUUGAAGUGACACUAGCCCACUGAAGCAUGUGGCUGUGGCAGGCCUUGCUCUUCUCUCCCAAUUCCUUCUGCCUUGCUAAAAAACAAACAAACAAAACAAAACAAAAAGUUAGAUUAUAUCCCUAAAGUUAGCCACCAAGGUCUAUUCCCUUAUUUGGCCACUACCUCCUCCUGAGGUUGACUACCAAAGUCCAGCAAUCGGAAUCCCCCUUCUUACCUAAGUAACAUGCCCAAUUAAAACUAAACACCUCAUCCUAACUGAGGGUUUCCUAUGUGCCUAUGUGCCAUAUCUGUCUCCUCUGUUAUCCACAGGCAGUCCUUUGUCCCUCAUGGAACAAAUAGCUCUGUCCUCUUUCUGUUGUCCCCUUCCCCUCUCCCUCUCCCCUGUGUUUUUACCACCACUUCCGAGCCCAUUUUCACACAGACCUCCCCUUUUCCCCCUCUUGAGAAUUACACUGCAAGGCCAUUUGCUGCUAUUUUCUGCCUGAGUCAGAAAGCAGCCACUUUUGCUUUGCUUCACCACUUAAAGGAUCUCUCUGUGAAAACGGGUGUUUUGGCUGUGGUUUGUGCCUAACCCGGGGUCCAAGAAGGAGGCUCUGCUGUGUGGGAGUCCCUUUCAGAGUUGCCAUGGUAAUAUUGUCUCUUCACAGCAAUAAAACAGUGACCAAGACACUCAUGAUCCUCCUGCUCUACCUUCAUGAGUCCUGGGAUUACAAGUAUGUACAGACUCAGUUGUAACUUUACAUUCUAAGCCUCACAAUGUAUCCACAUGGCCUCUAGUCAACUAGACCUAUUCAGAUAUGGAAAGUCCUUGGCUUCAGAAUCAUUUGCCUUGUUUUAUGCCCUAAAGCAUCACUAUCCUGACUACUGCAUAAUUUAUUUUUAAAUCAAUAACAGCUGUGUUGUCAACAAUAUACACCUAUCUGUAAUCACAUCUUUAAUAGUUUACAGCAGGAAAGAGUUUCCAAUCUUAUGAACAACUAAAUAUCUUUUUAGAAACUCUUCAGGAAUAAUUAUCCAAAUUAAACUUACUUUGACCAUUUUCAUGCAGAAUCAACAAUUACAUGUAAGAUGAACACACACAUACACACACUCACUCACACACACUCACACACUCAUUUCCACUAAUAGUCACUGACUAUAUAUAGCUUUCAUCUUCUGCUGUAUACUUGUGUACUUACUGGGUUCCUUUGAAACUAAGGAGCCAGAGAGGUUGGUACGCUCCUGUAUUCCCAUAACUGUAGAGGUUGAGACAGAAGGAUCCCAAGUUUCAGGCCAGCACAUACUACAUGGUGAGUUCUAAGCCACCCCUAGGUUACUAGAGGUUACUAGUUAGACCUGACCUUGUUUAUGAAAACAAAGCAAAAAAAAAACAUAAUUGAUGCUUCCUUCAUUGCUUUACUUUUCUUGGUAUCUGGAAACGACUGUUACAAAUAUUAAAUUCACAUAUAUAAAUUGUCAGUUUACCCUGUACAGACUUUUACUUUGGAAAAUAUAGUAUAAUUUUUGUGUUGAAUUAUUGUUUUCUUGUUGUAUAAUUUUUUAUUUUUAUUUUUUUCUACUUUUGAUUUUGAGACUGACUUUCAUUAUGUGCUCUGGCUGACCUGGAACUCACUAUGUAGACCAGACUAGCCUUGAACGUACAAUUUUGUUUUCUGAGUACUGGAAUUAAAAGGCUCAUGCUACUAUGACUCACGUAUUUUUCUAUUUUUAUUAAACAAUUACAUAUUUGUAGUUAAACAAGUCAGUUCUUCAAAAUCCUGGGCAAGCUUUUUGAAAUUCUUAACAAGUAAUCUUACUUUCUAAAAGUCUUGUCCAUAUAUGUUCAAGUAAUAAGAGGAGGCUAAAAUCUCAUAGCUGAUAGCUGUGUCAUAUAUGUGUGUAUUUUAAGGCAGUCAUUUUUAUUCUCAUAUCUCUACAAAAACACUUAGGUUGAGACAUGCUAAAUGUCUCUGUAAGACUAAGCAGCUAACAAAUUGCAAAACCAGGAAUUUAACUCAGGAUUAUAACCAGUUUAAAAUGAGAAAGCUUUUAUUGCCUUCAUUAUGCUGUAAUGCUUCACAAUCUAUGAUUACUAUACAAGAGUUUAAAUAUUUAGAAUGAAUUUCACAGAAGCAUAUCAAUUCCUUUCCAGGUGUUUUGCAUUAACCUUAUGCACAGUCAUCUUUUAUUCAUUAUUUGAUUCAACAAAUAUUUAUCAAGUGCCUAAUAUAUACCAGUCAUUUCUCAAGGAGCUAUAUGGUGGCAAUCCAAAGUCUCUAUUCUUACUGACUUCUAAUAGAAAAGGUAGAAAUAACACAAAAACAUAAAAGAUAAUAUGGCAUAAGGUAACUAAAAAAAAAAAGAAGUCACAGUUUCAGUGUGUUAAGUGCUAUGUGGGGUCAAAUUAGGAUCUAUAAAUAACUAUGGAUGAUGGAGAUGCCUAUAAACAUCACCUUUUUAGAUAAAGACAUAAAAUAAUAUACUUUUAACUGUACUCAGCUGAGCCAAACUCCUGGAAUCCAGUUGUAGAGAGGGAGGAGUAAUGAGCAAUGGAAUCAAGACCAGGCUGGUGAAACCCACAGAAACAGCUAACCUGAACAAGGGAGCUCAUGGUCCCCAGACUGACAGCUGGGAAACCAGCACAGGACUGAAUGUGGGUGUUAGUUAGGAGGUCUGGGCAGUCUAUGGGGCCUCUGGUCAUGGAACACUAUUUAUCCCUAGAGCAUGAAUGGAAUUUGGGAGCCCAUUCCCCAUAUAGGGAUACUCUCUCAGCCUAGACACAUGGGGGAGGGUCUAGGCCCUGAUCCAAAUGAUAUGACAG